rnacentral:rRNA from 1 species
GUGCCAGCAGCCGCGGUAAUACGUAGGGGGCAAGCGUUGUCCGGAUUUAUUGGGCGUAAAGAGCGUGUAGGCGGCCAUGCAGGUCCGUUGUGAAAACUCGAGGCUCAACCUCGAGACGCCGGUGGAAACCGCAUGGCUAGAGUCCGGAAGAGGAGAGUGGAAUUCCUGGUGUAGCGGUGAAAUGCGCAGAUAUCAGGAAGAACACCCGUGGCGAAGGCGGCUCUCUGGGACGUGACUGACGCUGAGACGCGAAAGCGUGGGGAGCAAACAGGAUUAGAUACCCUGGUAGUCC